AGAGAUCUAAGAUGGCGGAUGAUAUGUGCUCUUCGUGCUUUAAGGGCACAAAGUAUUUUUGUUUAUCGUGCGCUAUGCCCUUCUGCUGUGAAUGUACAUUAUUCGAGAAUGAUGAAAACACACCCGUUUGGACAAUGGGAAAGUCGGUAGGGUACUGUCAGGUCUGUUUUGAGGAGAAAAGGAAAGACAAACCUGGAGUUGGAAGGAUAAUCUCCACAAUAGCUCAACAUCAUAGUAUACUUCAAUGAUAAUGGUUAUAAUUAGGUUAAAUUUAAGUUURGAUUGGGAUACUUUUAGUUCAGGCAGGUCCAAAUGAGCUUUUAAAGUUGCCAAAUUAUAAUCUGCAUUAUCAAAUGAAUAUAAAUUGCAAAAAAAAAAAUCACUUGCAUAACU